GGAAUUGAUUCAACAUCGCUGGGAAUUGGGAAGGGAAGAAAGAGUACGCUGUAAAAAUACAUUUUUCAUCAAAGACAUAUAUACAUAUUACCUUUGGGAAAAAUAAAAUACUUUGGAACAUUUAAUUGGAUUGGCUUUAUAUGACAACAUUCCAAAUUACAUGUCAUUGUCUGAGCAGAGUUCUAUUAUUUGAAGACUUUAUUGAUCAUUCAGUGUCCAGAAUGAAGAAAACUAG
rnacentral:lncRNA from 1 species